rnacentral:lncRNA from 1 species
GCUAGCAGCUUAGAACUUUUAAAGGAGGCAAAGGCAGAGGAGAACAAAGGAAGGAGGAAGUAACUGGUGGAAUGCUGAGAAAGGUAAAAACACCUUCAAAUAAGGAAGAGGAACAGGCUAUGACCUAAUGCUUGCUUGGACCAGUAUAAGCAUGCCAGGGCAAAUAUUUGGGCUACAUUUUGGAAACUAAGAACAUAAACAUUUCAGUGUGCGGCAUCAUCAUGCAAGCUCUGUAAGAGGAGAGUAAGAUCAGUACUCCUACUUGUAAAUGAAAGAGAAGAAAACAAAAACAAGCAAAUUCCUUCUAAGGUGUGAGGAACACGAGUAAACAGAGAAAUCACCUAAGGAGAAAACAGGAAGCAGAUUUGAAACUGUGGCCACCAACGACACGAGGGAGCGCAAAACCCAGCCCACUUGCCAGGGAGGCUGGCAGAGCCCACACCCAGUCUGGUGCCCUGGUCGGUUACAUUCUGCUUUUUGAAGCAGCGUUCAAAAUCAGUUGUGGAUCAAGUCAAGAUGAACUCUGAAACAAUACUUUAAAUACCCCUGGAUGAUUUUGAAGGUAUUUGUAAGUGAGAAUAAUUCAUUCUGCUUUAAAGCAUAAAAUCAACUUCCCCCAAAUGCAACAUGUUAGUUAAAAGAAUCAUACCCUUUUUAAAAAAAACUUUGAUGGCAUCCAGCCAGAAACUACCUGCUCAUAAUUUGCUGAAAUCUACAUAGCUCAUCAUUUCACGUUGUAAACUCCAUUGCACAUAGAACACAUAGCUAAAACAGAGGAGCCUGCUAAAUGCACAUAUUUGCCACUGGGCUGGUCCUGGUCUUUAAAUGUGGCACACCAAUUCCACAGAAGAGAAGGUCAAACUGCUUUGAAUUUGAGAGACUCAAUCCUUUAUUUCCAUCAGACUUCCAGAAAAACAGUGACCUGAAAUGGCAGAGGGGUUCCUCAAUCCUUGUAGACAAAAUAUGAACAACCAGGCUUCUCUCCCUUCCAAUGGAACGUAAAUGGAAAAAAGCAAACCACAGCCGCCUGCAUUUAGGAGAAGCUUUUAUUUAUCUCAUUAUCAAGAUCCUUUUAAUUUGCUAAGAGUUUCUUAUGGCAAACAAAUACCUCUUACCCCCCACUUCCGAGAAUGCGGGAACAGAUGAAAGGAAAGUGUAAUGGUUUUGAUCUCAUUAGGACAUCGGCAUUAGUGGGGCAGCAAUUAUAAAAGUAAUUGACUCUGCUUCACCCGGCGUCGGGAGGGAGUCAUUCUGAAGACCCAUCGUGCUCCGAGGUUGGGCUGUCAUCCUUCAUCUUCUGCUGUGUGCCCGUGUGUUAGGUUUUCAUCCCUCAAAGGCAUUCAGUCUUUCUCUGGGACUCAAAGUGCAGCAUAAGAAAUAUCUUGGAGUGUUGGUUAUUGCUGCCUGGGAUUGACUGUUCAGAUACAGCUCCAUCAGGGAAACCAAAUAUGUUGCUGCCACCCUGACAUUUUUGUGUUUUUCUACCUGAUCAUCUGUAUAGGACAAGGGAAUUUCUUCUCUGUGGUGACCUGUCAUGAAUUAAUGAUCCCAGCAUACCCAGUAAAGUUUUUAAUGUGCAGUAUGGGUUAAUUCAUAAGACAUGGUCUGACUCAGGUUUGUUUAUACAAAAAUGUGCUCUGUCCACACCAACAUGGCACAUGUAUACACGUGUAACAAACCUGCACGUUGUACACAUGUACCCUAGAACUUAAAGUAUAUAUAUAUAAAAAAACAAAACUAGUUAUUGGGCACUAUACUCUCUACCUGGGGUUGCACCCCAACUCUCAGCAUCACACAAUAUACCCAUGUAACAACCUGCACAUGUACCCUCUGAAUAUAAAAUAAAAGUUGAAAUUAUUUAAAAAAA